ACAGAAGACCUCACUCUGUCUCACUUGUGGGAGAAUUGGGUUUCUGAGCAUCAGACAAAAUGUCUUUUAAUGAGCAGCAGUGUAAACAGCCAUGCCUUCCUCCUCCUUGUCUUCAAAAAACUCAGGAGAAGUGUCCAGUUCAAGUUCCAGAGCCAUGUCCACCACCAUGCCAAGAAAAAUGUCCAGUUCAAGCCCAGGAACCAUGUCUCCCUAAAAGCCAGGAUCCAUGCCAGGAAAUAUGUCCACAGAAAUGCCAAGAGUCAAGUCUCUCUCAGUGCCAAGACCCAUGUGCACCACCAUGUCAAGACCAGGUCCUGGAGCCCCCGUGCCAGGAGCCAUCUCAGAUGAAGUGUACAGAAGCAAUUCCUCAAAAAUGCCAAGAGAAAUGUCAACUCCCUAGCCUGAGUAAAUAGUCAUCGACCUCAAAUUCCACAGCUGUGGCAACAUCUGGAGGCAAAAGAAAUGACCCACAGAUAAAAAACCAAGUCACACUCCAAACUAUGGUGAAGUUCUCCUGUAUAUAACUUUGUCCGUAUUGAUUUUUUUCUUAUGUCUUUGCCUCAGCAAGCGUUUCUUUUCCUCAACCAGGUCAUGGACUUUCUCUGGGAAGGUAAUUCUCACUAUAUAUCAGCAGUCUCUAUAAAAUAAGCACAGUAUCUCCCAACCAGUGGGAAAUGGUAUGCAGCAGAUCAGUGCUUCUAUAAAACCAUAGAAUGUCAAAGCUUAAAGGGACCUUAAAGACCAUUUAGUUCAUUUCAAAUGAUUUUUUCACUAUUUGGAGAAAAAAACUGAAGCACAUAAAAGUAGUCAAUAAGAAAUCUAGGACAAGAACCUCUGGUCUCCUGACUCCUAAUCCAGCACUUUCUCUACCAUACCAUCCUUCUCAAUCCUGGGUUUGCAGAAUGCUAAAGGUGUCACCCACUUGAUGAGAUAUGAUGGAACUGAAUCCAUUUUAGAAAUGUAAACUCUUUGAAGGUAAGGACUGUUUCAGUCUUGUCUUGGUAUCCUUAGCACCUUGCAGAUUGUCUCACAUGUAUUAAUGUCCUGAUGGAUGUUUAAGUAAUUAAUGGAUUCUUAAGUGAUUCUCAAAAACAUGUUAAUUUGGAAACACCUCAGUAUUAAAGGGAAGGGAAGUGUAAUUAAAUACUUUGAGAAUUUAGAAAAGAUCUACAUUGCCAGAUACUGCUAGGUUAUAUAAUUACAAAGACAAAGACAAAGACAGUCCCUUCAUUCAAAGCCAUAUUCUAUCAGAGGGGAGAAGAUAUGUCACCAAAUCCAUUGAAGUCUGACAAAGUGCCACAGCUCCUCAGAGGUGGUAGGUUCUCUAUUCUCUAUUCUAAAAUUAUCCCCAGACCUUUGGACAUCAACACUUUGGUACUAUGGUAGGCAGGAAAAUGAUAAUGAUGAAAUGUGUUGCUACAAAGUGAAGACGGAAGAAUGAGAUGGGAUCCUUUGAAUUGCUGUUUAUUGUUGUUUUUGUUGUUAGCUCACUCUGGGCCACUUGUGUAAGCUAUUUCUAAACCCUUCAGAGAUGUGAUUUGUAUUCUAUGUGAUUCCAUGUUGGGUCUACUUGGUUGCCCAGCUCUGUCUUUUUUUCCAAUUGUGAAGGUAAAACAUUAAAGCCUCCAACUCCAGC
ensembl:lncRNA